rnacentral:rRNA from 1 species
UACGUAGGGGGCAAGCGUUGUCCGGAAUCAUUGGGCGUAAAGAGCGUGUAGGCGGCCCGAUAAGUCCGCUGUGAAAGUCCAGGGCUCAACCCUGGGAUGCCGGUGGAUACUGUCGAGCUCGAGUCCGGAAGAGGAGUGUGGAAUUCCUGGUGUAGCGGUGAAAUGCGCAGAUAUCAGGAGGAACACCAAUGGCGAAGGCAGCACUCUGGGACGUGACUGACGCUGAGACGCGAAAGCGUGGGGAGCAAACAGG